rnacentral:rRNA from 1 species
UACGUAGGUGGCAAGCGUUGUUCGGAUUCAUUGGGCGUAAAGGGUGCGUAGGCGGCGUGGUAAGUCGGGUGUGAAAUCUCGGAGCUUAACUCCGAAACUGCAUUCGAUACUGCCGUGCUUGAGGACUGGAGAGGAGACUGGAAUUUACGGUGUAGCGGUGAAAUGCGUAGAUAUCGUAAGGAAGACCAGUGGCGAAGGCGGAUCUCUGGACAGUUCCUGACGCUGAGGCGCGAAGGCCAGGGGAGCAAACGGG